rnacentral:rRNA from 2 species
GGGUUGUGAGGUUAAGCGACUAAGCGUACACGGUGGAUGCCCUGGCAGUCAGAGGCGAUGAAGGGCGUGCUAAUCUGCGAUAAGCGCCGGUAAGGUGAUAUGAACCGUUAUAACCGGCGAUACCCGAAUGGGGAAACCCAGUGUGACUCGUCACACUAUCAUUAACUGAAUCCAUAGGUUAAUGAGGCGAACCGGGGGAACUGAAACAUCUAAGUACCCCGAGGAAAAGAAAUCAACCGAGAUUCCCCCAGUAGCGGCGAGCGAACGGGGAGGAGCCCAGAGCCUGAAUCAGCAUGUGUGUUAGUGGAAGCGUCUGGAAAGGCGCGCGAUACAGGGUGACAGCCCCGUACACAAAAGCGCAUGUGCUGUGAGCUCGAUGAGUAGGGCGGGACACGUGGUAUCCUGUCUGAAUAUGGGGGGACCAUCCUCCAAGGCUAAAUACUCCUGACUGACCGAUAGUGAACCAGUACCGUGAGGGAAAGGCGAAAAGAACCCCGGCGAGGGGAGUGAAAAAGAACCUGAAACCGUGUACGUACAAGCAGUGGGAGCACCCUUUGGGUGUGACUG